UUUUUUUUUUUUUUUUUGUGUGUUUUUUCUUGCGUGUAAAAUCCAGCCCCAAAAGCAAAUUGGCGACAAGAACAAUAACAAAACAGUUAUAAAGCGGCAAACACAUCUCCAGCUAAACUGUUUUGCCCUGUUGGAAACUGGCUAAUGAUGCGACGACUUCAAUUUGCAUAAGAUGUGUUUUAUUUUUACCAAGCUGGAAGCUGGAAAUAAGUA